rnacentral:rRNA from 1 species
UAUCUCUGUAGAGUCUGCAUAUCAAUAAGCGGAGGAAAAGAAACUAACAAUUGGAUUCCCUUAGUAACGGCGAGUGAAGCGGGAAGAGCUCAAAUUUGAAAUCUUCAAGGUUUUACCUUGACGAAUUGUAGUUUAAAGAAGUGUUUUCUGUUGGUGUUUUGGUAAAAGUUCUUUGGAAUAGGACAUCAUAGAGGGUGAGAAUCCCGUAUUUGACCAUUACUUUCCAGCGUUGUGAUACACUUUCAAAGAGUCGGAUUGUUUGGGAAUGCAGUCCAAAGUGGGUGGUAAAUUUCAUCUAAAGCUAAAUAUUGGCGAGAGACCGAUAGCGAACAAGUACCGUGAGGGAAAGAUGAAAAGAACUUUGAAAAGAGAGUUAAACAGUACGUGAAAUUGUCAAAAGGGAAGCGUUUGACACCAGUGUUGUUUUCUCGAAAAUCAAUUAAAAAAGGCAGGAUUUUGUGUUGUAUUGACCUUAUCAGCUUUCUGCACUCUUUUCUUGUCUUUUUUAAUGCACUUUUCGUUUAACAAGUCAACAUCAAUUUCUUUUGUUGUAAAAGGGUCAUUGGAAGGUGGCUUUCUUUUCGGAGAAAGUGUUUAUAGCCUUUGGCCUCUGCAAUCGGAGAGAUUGAGGUCUGCAGCGUAGAUCCUUCGGGGUUAGAUACAUUUGUGCUAAGUUAUAGCCUUUCAUAGACAACUUGUUGACUAUGAUCAGUCAUGUAGCUUACUCGCUUAUGCUAUUUUACCUACGCUUAGGAUGUUGACGAUCAGCUGAGCGCG